UUUUCGGUUGAUCCUGCCGGACCCGACUGCUAUCGGAUUGAGACUAAGCCAUGCGAGUCAACCCGCAAGGGUGGCGGACGGCUCAGUAACACGUAGUCAACCUGCCCUGAGGACGUGGAUAUCCACGGGAAACUGUGGUUAAACCGCGAUAGGUCAUCGCUUCUGGAACGGGCGAUGGCUCAAAUCUACAUGGCCUCAGGAUGGGACUGCGGCCGAUCAGGUUGUUGGCGGGGUAAUGGCCCACCAAGCCUAUAACCGGUACGGGCUCUGAGAGGAGGAGCCCGGAGAUGGGCACUGAGACAAGGGCCCAGGUCCUAUGGGGCGCAGCAGGCGCGAAACCUUCGCAAUAGGCGAAAGCCUGACGAGGUUAAUCCGAGUGGUUCCUGCUAAAGGAACCUUUUGCCAGCUGUAAAAAGGCUGGUGAAUAAGGGGUGGGCAAGCCUGGUGUCAGCCGCCGCGGUAAUACCAGCACCCCGAGUGGUCGGGAUGAUUAUUGGGCCUAAAGCAUCCGUAGCCGGUUCUGCAAGUCUCCCGUUAAAUCCACCUGCUCAACAGUUGGGCUGCGGGAGAUACUGUAGGACUAGGAGGCGGGAGAGGCGAGGGGUAUUCCUUGGGUAGGGGUAAAAUCCUUUGAUCCAUGGAGGACCACCAGUGGCGAAGGCGCCUCGCCAGAACGCGCUCGACGGUGAGGGAUGAAAGCUGGGGGAGCAAACCGGAUUAGAUACCCGGGUAGUCCCAGCUGUAAACGAUGCAGGCUCGGUGAUGGACUGGCCUCGAGCCAGUCCAGUGCCGCAGGGAAGCCGUUAAGCCUGCCGCCUGGGGAGUACGGUCGCAAGACUGAAACUUAAAGGAAUUGGCGGGGGAGCACCACAAGGGGUGAAGCCUGCGGUUCAAUUGGAUUCAACGCCGGGAAU
rnacentral:rRNA from 1 species